rnacentral:rRNA from 1 species
UGCCAGACUCCUACGGGAGGCAGCAGUGGGGAAUAUUGCACAAUGGGGGAAACCCUGAUGCAGCGACGCCGCGUGAGCGAUGAAGUAUUUCGGUAUGUAAAGCUCUAUCAGCAGGGAAGAAAGUGACGGUACCUGACUAAGAAGCCCCGGCUAACUACGUGCCAGCAGCCGCGGUAAUACGUAGGGGGCAAGCGUUAUCCGGAUUUACUGGGUGUAAAGGGAGCGUAGGUGGCAUGGCAAGCCAGAAGUGAAAACCCGGGGCUUAACCCCGCGGAUUGCUUUUGGAACUGUCAGGCUGGAGUGCAGGAGGGGCAGGCGGAAUUCCUGGUGUAGCGGUGAAAUGCGUAGAUAUCAGGAGGAACACCGGUGGCGAAGGCGGCCUGCUGGACUGUAACUGACACUGAGGCUCGAAAGCGUGGGGAGCAAACAGGAUUAGAUACCCGUGUAC